AUGAACCCACUGUUGCUGGAGAGAAGAAGCCACGACUGCUAUGAGAGGAGUAGACCAGGGACACUCCCACAAGGUGAAGGUGCCUGCAAUCCAUCAAACGCGACACUUGAGACGCCACCGACAAUAUCGAGAGCAACCUCACCGCCCAAGCGACAUGAGGUGAACACAACCGAUGUUGCCGAACUCUCGAGGCCACCACCUCGACCUCCACCAACAUACCACCUUCCGGGGCCGCCGUCCCGACAUACCACCGCUCUCUCUCGAGCUGCAACAUUGCAUGACUUAGUCACCCACAGCCCAGGCUGA
rnacentral:rRNA from 1 species